GAGCCAACACGCAUACAUGCAAUGAAAAUGUUUGUGUACCUGCAAUAUGGACACUUCGUUCCUCAGCUGUCUGUCUUGUUUGGUGGGGAAACGCGUCUUGUCGAUGACUUUGAUGGCGACUGGUCGACCCGACUUCCUACCCUGACGGAUGGCGCUCUCCCAGGACGGCCCGUCCUCUCCUGCCACCACGCAGUACACCAGCGAGGCCGUCACCACCUCAAAGGAGUGAGCGCUGUCGCCCGGCAACAAGGGCGUGGAGAGCUGGGCAGGGCCUCGGACCUGCAGCACCUCUGACAGAGGGAUCUCCUGCAGGAGGAAGAGCAAUACUGUAUGAGGCGAUUACAAUAAAGGUGGUUAAACUAUG